rnacentral:rRNA from 2 species
GGUAAAAGCUCAAAUUUGAAAUCUGGUACUUUCAGUGCCCGAGUUGUAAUUUGUAGAAUUUGUCUUUGAUUAGGUCCUUGUCUAUGUUCCUUGGAACAGGACGUCAUAGAGGGUGAGAAUCCCGUUUGGCGAGGAUACCUUUUCUCUGUAAGACUUUUUCGAAGAGUCGAGUUGUUUGGGAAUGCAGCUCAAAGUGGGUGGUAAAUUCCAUCUAAAGCUAAAUAUUGGCGAGAGACCGAUAGCGAACAAGUACAGUGAUGGAAAGAUGAAAAGAACUUUGAAAAGAGAGUGAAAAAGUACGUGAAAUUGUUGAAAGGGAAGGGCAUUUGAUCAGACAUGGUGUUUUUUGCAUGCACUCGCCUCUCGUGGGCUUGGGCCUCUCAAAAAUUUCACUGGGCCAACAUCAAUUCUGGCAGCAGGAUAAAUCAUUAAGAAUGUAGCUACUUCGGUAGUGUUAUAGCUUUUUGGAAUACUGUUAGCCGGGAUUGAGGACUGCGCUUCGGCAAGGAUGUUGGCAUAAUGGUUAAAUGCCGCCCGU